UCGGGAAUCUUCCGCAAUGGGCGAAAGCCUGACGGAGCAACGCCGCGUGAGUGAUGAAGGUCUUCGGAUCGUAAAACUCUGUUAUUAGGGAAGAACAAAUGUGUAAGUAACUAUGCACGUCUUGACGGUACCUAAUCAGAAAGCCACGGCUAACUACGUGCCAGCAGCCGCGGUAAUACGUAGGUGGCAAGCGUUAUCCGGAAUUAUUGGGCGUAAAGCGCGCGUAGGCGGUUUUUUAAGUCUGAUGUGAAAGCCCACGGCUCAACCGUGGAGGGUCAUUGGAAACUGUAAAACUUGAGUGCAGAAGAGGAAAGUGGAAUUCCAUGUGUAGCGGUGAAAUGCGCAGAGAUAUGGAGGAACACCAGUGGCGAAGGCGACUUUCUGGUCUGUAACUGACGCUGAUGUGCGAAAGCGUGGGGAUCAAACA
rnacentral:rRNA from 1 species